GCGUUGCCGGUCAGCACCACAAAAUCUUUCGCCAGCUCGUAAUGCAUAUGGGAAGCGUGGCCUUUCACCGGCUUACCGUUGUCCUGCAUCUGGUAGAAGGUGGCCGGAUUGCCGUAACCG
rnacentral:rRNA from 1 species